rnacentral:rRNA from 1 species
GAUUGAACUGAAGAGUUUGAUCCUGGCUCAGAUUGAACGCUGGCGGCAUGCCUAACACAUGCAAGUCGAACGGAAACGAUGG